GCUGGAUGGAGUUGUUGGUGGCAUCUGAGGAGUCCGAAGAUGGCUCUCAGGGAAGGUUGUGCUGGCCUCUGAAGGAUAUGGAAGCUGACGCUGUUCCUGGGGUAGCUUCAUGCUCUUGGGGUCAUUGUUUCUCGGGUUUGUUUUUUUCUUUAUCUGGAUAAAACUAUGCAUUUCUGAAAUCAGUUUUGACAUCUGGUUCUUUUUUCUAAGUCGAAAGCAGAAAAGUUGGAGCUUAUCUCCUUCUUCACAGGGGAUAUUGUGACAUUGUCCUGUCCCCACU
rnacentral:lncRNA from 1 species